AUCGAAAACAACCCAACUUCUUCCCUCUCUCACUUCACCGUUAUCACUCAUCCUUUUCAUUCUAUUACAAAGACAACAUACAAAAUCCUCUUCUUCUUCUAUACAAACUCAAGAGCAUAGAUCCCAAAACAUACCCAAACAUUACUCCUCUAUUUCUCAAUUUAAAUAAGACAAGGCAGUAA